rnacentral:rRNA from 1 species
AGAGUUUGAUCCUGGCUCAGAACUAACGCUGGCGGCGCGCUUAACACAUGCAAGUCGAGCGAGAACGUCAGACUUCGGUCUGAUUAGUAAAGCGGCGCACGGGUGAGUAGCGCGUGAGUAACCUAUCUCCAAGAUCGGGAUAACAUCGCGAAAGCGGUGCUAAUACCGGAUAUGAUCACGACCCCUUUGGGGGUAGUGAUGAAAGAUUGCCUCUUCAUGAAAGCUGUCGCUUGGAGCCGGGCUCGCGUACCAUUAGCUUGUUGGUAGGGUAAAAGCCUACCAAGGCCACGAUGGUUAGCUGGUCUGAGAGGACGAUCAGCCACACUGGAACUGGAACACGGUCCAGACUCCUACGGGAGGCAGCAGUGAGGAAUCUUGCGCAAUGGGGGAAACCCUGACGCAGCGACGCCGCGUGGGUGAUGAAGGCCUUCGGGUCGUAAAGCCCUGUCGAGUGGGAAGAACCGUAGUCGGGUUAAUAGCCUGUCUACCUGACGGUACCACCAAAGGAAGCACCGGCCAACUCCGUGCCAGCAGCCGCGGUAAUACGGAGGGUGCAAGCGUUGUUCGGAAUAACUGGGCGUAAAGGGCGCGUAGGCGGUUGGAUAAGUCAGAUGUGAAAUCCCUGGGCUCAACCCAGGAAGUGCAUUUGAAACUGUCCAUCUUGAGUACGGGAGAGGGAAGCGGAAUUCCGAGUGUAGAGGUGAAAUUCGUAGAUAUUCGGAGGAACACCGGUGGCGAAGGCGGCUUCCUGGACCGAUACUGACGCUGAGGCGCGAAAGCGUGGGGAGCAAACAGGAUUAGAUACCCUGGUAGUCCACGCUGUAAACGAUGAUCACUCGCUGUUGGCGAUACACAGUCAGCGGCUGAGGGAAACCAUUAA